CAAAGGUCACCAUGGACAUCAGAGGUAUUCUUGUGACGCUGUUGGUCGGCUGCCUACUAAUAGUGGAAGCCAUGUCCAUACCACACAUUGUGAAAAGGG